GCGUGCUUAACACAUGCAUCGAACGGAAAGGCCUUCGGGGUACCCGAGUGGCGAACGGGUGAGUAACACGUGGGUGAUCUGCCCUGCACUUUGGGAUAAGCCUGGGAAACUGGGUCUAAUACCGAAUAGGACCACGCGCUUCAUGGUGUGUGGUGGAAAGCUUUUGCGGUGUGGGAUGGGCCCGCGGCCUAUCAGCUUGUUGGUGGGGUAAUGGCCUACCAAGGCGACGACGGGUAGCCGGCCUGAGAGGGUGACCGGCCACACUGGGACUGAGAUACGGCCCAGACUCCUACGGGAGGCAGCAGUGGGGAAUAUUGCACAAUGGGCGCAAGCCUGAUGCAGCGACGCCGCGUGAGGGAUGACGGCCUUCGGGUUGUAAACCUCUUUCAAUAGGGACGAAGCGCAAGUGACGGUACCUAUAGAAGAAGCACCGGCCAACUACGUGCCAGCAGCCGCGGUAAUACGUAGGGUGCGAGCGUUGUCCGGAAUUACUGGGCGUAAAGAGCUCGUAGGUGGUUUGUCGCGUUGUUCGUGAAAACUCACAGCUUAACUGUGGGCGUGCGGGCGAUACGGGCAGACUAGAGUACUGCAGGGGAGACUGGAAUUCCUGGUGUAGCGGUGGAAUGCGCAGAUAUCAGGAGGAACACCGGUG
rnacentral:rRNA from 1 species